ACCUGCAGAUAAGGGAAGUGGGGAGCAUGAGGCCCAGAAAGCAUCCAAACCUAGCUGGUGUCUGAGCCAGUACCACGCUCCUGAGAUGGAUGGGCUACGCAGCUCAGUCUACCCCGAUCAGCUGUGUGCUUGACCUCCCCAUGCCUUCCCUUUUUCCUGCUGGAGUGACACCAUCUGCCUCACGUUGCCAGGUACAGCCCCGCCAGCUCCCCAACCAGCUCGUGGUUGGGGACGAUUUUCCAGAUGAUGUCACCUGGAUGGGAGUGAGAGAGGUCCUAAAAUCAGGGAAGAUGGCAAGUGGCUGCCACCACCCAUCCAAGGACUUAGAAACCACAGAAAACAGGAACGGCACUGACUGUACAACUCUAAGAAGUCUCCUCAUCUCUGACCUUGGUUUUCUUCCAAAUAAAAGAUAGAGCUACUCAC